rnacentral:lncRNA from 13 species
GGCCAGUGAGGAAACUGACAAUAGUUGCUUGUUGACAUCAGUACUAGGCAGUGGCAGAGAGUUGAAGAAGUGGGAACAGAAUCAGAGAGCUGGUACCAUUUCAGUAGGUCCUUGGGCUGCCUGAAAAUUAUGACGCUGGAGCAUCAUUUACUCAAAAUGCUCAUCCAAAAACAGGACAUCAAAACUAGUCACUCUUCGCCUUAUGGAAACGAAUACCCCAAGGACGACAAGCAUCUGUCCGGGACCCAGCUCGAGGUGGGCAAAGAGACCUUAGAAACACAAACAGCAAGGUUUUAAUUCCAGCUGCAUCUCUUAUCAAACGCGGCAAGGAAAUGUGCCAAGUGUCCCAAGUGUCCCGGUGCUGCUGUCAUUAAGAAGGUAUUGUAACAAAAUGCUAAGGACUAAGAUGCAGUCUUAACGGGAGUCUUGGGCCCUAUUGUGAAUUGAAUUGUGUCCUCCAGAAAGAUUCCUGGAAGUCCUAAUCCCCCAGUACCAGAGAAUGAGACCUUAUUUGGAAAUAGGGUCAUUGCAGAUGCAAUUAACUAAACUGGGAUGAGGUUACACUAGAAUUGGUUGGGACCUUAAUCCAAUAAGGCUGGUUUCCUUAUAAGAGUGAAACUUAGAUACAGAUACACACAGAGAGUAGAAGGCCAGAAGACAGAAGCAGAGAUUGACGUGAGGCAUCUCUUAGCAGAGAAUGCUGAAGAACACCAGCCAUCACCAGGAGCUACAAGAAAGCC